UGCCUCAUUCCAGAUGAGAAGGGGGCACUGCUGAUUGGUGUCCUAGAUUGGUCAAUGUGGCUAAAUUGAGACACAGGUCAUGCUUCCAUCACAGUAAAUGCAUUGCAGUGGUGACAGUGAGAUCUGUAACAUUU
rnacentral:snoRNA from 1 species